AGCGCUUUCAGAAGUGCUUGGCCAUGAGCAGUUCCUGUUGACAUGAAGCAUGUCUGUGUGCUUAUCUACAGCUGUCACCUCUUCUGCAGGUCCUUUAAGCACCUCCUUUGCUGGUGCCUGUGUCAGCACAAUGACCUAUCCCACUGUCAGGAAGGCUUGAUGGCAUUUUGAAAAUGGUUGUUAACCUUGAGGCACUGUAGUUUGGAAAAUGCCAGUCUGACUCACAAGAAACAGAGAGACCACUCUGAAAAGAGAUCCAGGAAAGUGGAUAUGCAGGUAAAUCUAUUGUAACAUCCCUCUACAAUAACUGAAUCAAGCUGCAGGACACAAAGUCUGCUGAGG
rnacentral:lncRNA from 1 species